CUUGGAAGAUACGAAGAUAAAUGGACUCCAGAAGAUCGUCGGUAUUCAAGGAACUACAUGUGAAUUUUUCUGCUGUAGCCAAAGGCUUAAAAGUUGAUUGUAUAGUAACACGGUACUAUGAGAUUGUAUGUCAGAUUGCUGUGAAAACCUUGUCAAGGUCCUGUAUUUCCAGCUUUGUGAUCCAAUUUAAUACCUAUUUUGUAUGUCAGAUUGCUGUGAAAACCUUGUCAAGGUCCUGUAUGUCAGAUUGCUGUGAAAACCUUGUCAAGGUCCUGUAUUUCCAGCUUUGUGAUCCAAUUUAAUACCUAUUUUGUAUGUCAGAUUGCUGUGAAAACCUUGUCAAGGUCCUGUAUUUCCAGCCUUGUGAUCCAACUUAAUACCUGUUUGAAGAUUAUUGAGCAGACAAGAUUAUUGAGCAGACUCUAUAUGCUGUGGUUAACCCG
rnacentral:lncRNA from 1 species